rnacentral:lncRNA from 1 species
UCGGGACUAUUGGGUCACCCUGGGUAGUCGGGACUUUAGACUGAGCUGUCUUGGUCACUCAGGGGGCAGUUGGCAGAGUAUUCGUGGUCAGGGAGGUGACCCAUGGUCAGCAGGGUCAGGCCACCCAGGGACAAAGGGUCCUCCUGCACCGGGCCCUGGAGAAGGACAGACCGGUGGGGACUUGGGGUCAGCGGGGGAGCCUCCGCGGAUGGGGAGUCACCACCUGCCGGGUUCAAGCCAUUCUUCUGCCUCAGCCUCCCGAGUAGCUGGGACUACAGCCACCCACCACCAUGCCUGGCUACUUUUUUGUAUUUUAGUAGAAACGGGGUUUCACCGUGUUGGUCAAGAUGGUCUCGAUCUCCUGACCUCAAUCUGACCGCCUUGGCCUCCCGAAGUGCUGGGAUUAUAGCAAUCAGCCAUGACUGUCUUUGCAUUGUCCAUGCUCUCAGCCUACCACCUCCUCCCCCUGCCAUUGCAAGUGGCUAACACUGGGAAUGAAGACCAAGACACCACGGCCUUUCUCCAAUACCUCUCAAAUCAACACAGACAAGGACAAACGUCUCAAUCCACAACUGCUG